rnacentral:rRNA from 1 species
CAGCCGCCGCGGUAAAACGUAGGUCCCGAGCGUUGUCCGGAUUUAUUGGGCGUAAAGCGAGCGCAGGCGGUUAGAUAAGUCUGAAGUUAAAGGCUGUGGCUUAACCAUAGUACGCUUGGAAACUGUUUAACUUGAGUGCAAGAGGGGAGAGUGGAAUUCCAUGUGUAGCGGUGAAAUGCGUAGAUAUAUGGAGGAACACCGGUGGCGAAAGCGGCUCUCUGGCUUGUAACUGACGCUGAGGCUCGAAAGCGUGGGGAGCAAACAGGAUUAGAUACCCCCGUAGUCCCUGUCUCUUAUACAC